CCUACGGGUGGCAGCAGUGAGGAAUAUUGGUCAAUGGACGAGAGCCUGAACCAGCCAAGUAGCGUGAAGGAUGACUGCCCUACGGGUUGUAAACUUCUUUUAUAUGGGAAUAAAGUGUUCCACGUGUGGCUUUUUGUAUGUACCUUAUGAAUAAGGAUCGGCUAACUCCGUGCCAGCAGCCGCGGUAAUACGGAGGAUCCGAGCGUUAUCCGGAUUUAUUGGGUUUAAAGGGAGCGUAGGUGGGUUGUUAAGUCAGUUGUGAAAGUUUGCGGCUCAACCGUAAAAUUGCAAUUGAAACUGGCAGUCUUGAGUACAGUAGAGGUAGGCGGAAUUCGUGGUGUAGCGGUGAAAUGCUUAGAUAUCACGAAGAACUCCGAUUGCGAAGGCAGCUCACUAAACUGCAACUGACACUGAGGCUCGAAAGUGUGGGUAUCAAACAGGAUUAGAUACCCUAGUAGUC
rnacentral:rRNA from 1 species